rnacentral:rRNA from 1 species
AACGAAUGAUGGAGGCAUGCCUAACACAUGCAAGUCGAACGAGACCUUCGGGUCUAGUGGCGCACGGGUGCGUAACGCGUGGGAACCUGCCCUUAGGUUCGGAAUAACUCCCCGAAAGGGGUGCUAAUACCGGAUAAUGUCUUCGGACCAAAGAUUUAUCGCCUUUGGAUGGGCCCGCGUUGGAUUAGCUAGUUGGUAGGGUAAAAGCCUACCAAGGCGACGAUCCAUAGCUGGUCUGAGAGGAUGAUCAGCCACACUGGGACUGAGACACGGCCCAGACUCCUACGGGAAGCAGCAGUGGGGAAUAUUGGACAAUGGGCGAAAGCCUGAUCCAGCAAUGCCGCGUGAGUGAUGAAGGCCUUAGGGUUGUAAAGCUCUUUUACCCGGGAUGAUAAUGACAGUACCGGGAGAAUAAGCGCCGGCUAACUCCGUG